rnacentral:rRNA from 1 species
CUGCUGCCUCCCGUAGGAGUCUGGGCCGUGUCUCAGUCCCAAUGUGGCCGGCCAACCUCUCAGUCCGGCUACUGAUCGUCGCCUUGGUGGGCCGUUACCCCGCCAACUAGCUAAUCAGACGCGAGUCCAUCUCAGAGCGAUAAAUCUUUGAUGCCCAGUGCCAUGCGACACAGACAUAUUAUGCGGUAUUAGCAGCUGUUUCCAACUGUUAUUCCCCACUCCAAGGCAGGUUACUCACG